UGGGGCGAUUUUUGGGAAUUCUGGGAUUAUUUUGGGGUGAAUUUCAGGAAUUUGGGGAUUUUUUGGGGCAUUUUGGGAUUAUUCAGAGGAAUUUUGGGGUUAUUUGGGGAGGUUUUGGGGCAUUUCAGGGCUAUUUUCGGAUAUUUUGGGGGAUAUUUUUGGGAAAUUUUGGGGUGAUUUUGGGAAAUAUUUUUGGGGUAUUUUAGGGAUAUUUUGGGAAAUAUUUUUGGGAUAUUUUGGGGAUAUUUUUGGAGUGAUUUCAGGGAUAUUUUGGGGAUAUUUUAAGGAUAUUUCAGGGAUAUUUUGAGUUUUUUGGGGAGAUAUUUUAAGGAUAUUUCGGGGAAUAUUUGGGAUUAUUUUGGGGAUAUUUCAGGGAAUAUUUUAAGGAUAUUUCAGGGAUAUUUUGGGGUUAUUUUGGGGAAUAAUUUUUGAAUAUUUCAGGGAUAUUUUGGGGUGAUUUUUGUGGGUAUUUUGGGGAAUAUUUGGGAUAUUUCAGGGAUAUUUUAAGGAUAUUUUGGAGAUAAUUUUAGGGUGAUUUUGGGGUGAUUUUAGGGAUAUUUGGGGGUUAUUUUAGGUUGUUUUGGGAGAUUAUUUUAAAAUAUUUAGGGAUAUUUCAGGGAUAUUUCGGAGAUGUUUUGCUAGAUUUAAAGGAUAUUUUUGGGAUAUUUUUGUGGAUAUUUUUGUGGGCAUGUUGGGGAUAUUUUGGGGAAUAUUUGGGAUAUUUCAGGAAUAUUUUUUGCAUAUUUUGGGGAUGUUUUUGGGAUAUUUUGGAGAAUAUUUGGGGAUAUUUUCGGGGUGAAUUGAGAUGAUUUUGGGUCUCUCACCGUGUAC
rnacentral:lncRNA from 1 species